AACUUAGACACCAAGAACAUUGAACAUCGUGAGAAAUUUCAGGAGCUCAAGAAGGAGAUUAACUUCUAUCGCAACCUGCACAGCCGGCUCCUGAUGGACAAGGCAUGUAUGAAGAAGAAGUUGGUCACAUUGAAGCAGGAGAGCAAGGAGGUACAGCGAUAUUUGUUUGAGUUGAACCGGAAAGAUGAAGACGAACAGGAGAAGACCAGCAACCUCCAGACCCAGCAAAAUGUGGAAGUCUCCAGUCUCUGGUGCAGGUGCUGUUCCCAAGACAAAGAAAAGGAAAGUGCUAAGUGAGUGUUCCCAGG
ensembl:lncRNA